UGCCUUGUUUUGCUUUUAACAAACUGUGAAAAGACCAACAGCUGUUACUGAGCUAAGAAGAACUAAAGGAUUUACAUGCCUAAGCCAGAGAGGAGAAUAAGAGUCCAGUCUCUCUGGCCCAAUUAGGACACUCUGACAGACAAGCCUUACUCUAAAGAUGUUAAUUCAUAAUAAAUAACUUAUAACCCAAACACCAUCAUGGUAUCUGCUUCUGGAGAACACGACCCGUGAUAUUUGUGUUGGUGAAUAAAAUUUGGCAUGAAGAACACUGCACCAGCUCUGAGAUUAGACUUCAAAAAACCUUGCAGAUUUUCUCUCUGGGAACCCUAACAAGGUACCAUAUAAACAUGUCCUGAAUGCCUGCCGUAAAAUUAGAGGCCAUGUCAAUAGCAGAAAUUAAUCAUCCCAGCUGAGACCUUCCAAAGCAAUGAGAACCCAAUCAACUCAGCAGCUGACUAUACACAUGAAUAACACUUCCUAGACUAGAACAGCCUAGCUGAGCCCAGUCCAAAUUGCUAACUAGCAGAAUCAGGAUCUAAAUAAAUAAUUGUUAUUUUACACCAUUAAAUCCUUGGGAUGAGUUUUUGCAUAGCCAAAGCUAUCUGAUUAUAAAAGCAUACUUACUUAACAUUUCUGAAAAUACAAACAAGUUUUUCAGCUGGAUUCACACAACUCUGUGCUUGUCUCUGGGGAUGCCUGGAAAUCUAGCACUGUCUCUUGUCUAAGAUAAAGGCAUUGGGCUAACUAAUGAUUUAUCAUGUGCUGUUUCAUAUCUGAAACUCUCUUGUGGCACGCAGGCCUAGUUGGUUUACUGAUGGCUUACACAUGGAGUAACCAGUUUGCCUGACUUAACUAUGUAAACAGAGGGUCAUAAAAGACCCCACUGCAAGCUUUCAAGUUGCUCUCCCCAAAUCAAUAUUUACUGUACAAUUUUUGGUAAUUCAAUCUAGAAACAAAGCACAUCAUUGUGUUAAUAGCAAGGAUUUAAAAGAGAUGCUUCUGAAAGCUCUGUGGCUCCUAAUUCUUACCUGAACUCUCUGUCUUCUGCUUUAUAGUAUGUUUCUCCCUUAUUAAA